rnacentral:sRNA from 1 species
UUCCUAAAUCUAUAGAUGUUUAUAGGCAUGGAGCUAACAGUGGGUUACGUAAGUAGAGUAGCAGAAGUUAGAUCGGCCAUCACACCUUCCGAUGUUAUUCCAGUCGGUCGCUCUGUGGUUUAACAUUAAGGGUAGCGGAAACGUGAAAGUGUGUUAAAUGUAAAAAACCUUUUUAACGACCACAAGGAGUACUUCACUCUCACUAACAGGAGU